rnacentral:piRNA from 1 species
UAGGAUCUAUUUUAAUUUUUU